CCGAUGCUACAACCGCACAGAACAGGUUUUAAGCGAAAGUCCGCACCUGUGAUGGCGAGUCUUAGUUACUUU
rfam:Amphibacillus xylanus NBRC 15112 DNA, complete genome.